rnacentral:rRNA from 1 species
GCGACCCCAGGAUGGGCGAGGCCACCCGCUGAUUU